rnacentral:rRNA from 1 species
CAGUAGCCGCGGGAAUACGUAGGUGGCAAGCGUUGCCCGGAAUUAUUGGGCGUAAAGGGCUCGCAGGCGGUUUCUUAAGUCUGAUGUGAAAGCCCCCGGCUCAACCGGGGAGGGUCAUUGGAAACUGGGAAACUUGAGUGCAGAAGAGGAGAGUGGAAUUCCACGUGUAGCGGUGAAAUGCGUAGAGAUGUGGAGGAACACCAGUGGCGAAGGCGACUCUCUGGUCUGUAACUGACGCUGAGGAGCGAAAGCGUGGGGAGCGAACAGGAUUAGAUACCCCGGUAGUCCCUGUCUCUUAUAC